ACCCAAGUAAGAUCCGACCAAAUCUGAGUAUUUUAACACUAAAAUCAAUGUUUAAAAUCACAUGCACCAUCGGAAAUCAUUCUCUAUAUGAUUUUCAAACUCAUUUUCAAUGAUGAAUACCUUAAAUCUCAGAUUUAAAUACAUCUCAAAAUCUUUUUUUUUUAACAUCAAAAAUCUCAAUUGGAAAGUGAAGGUCAGGCUGUUGUUCAAGGGGAAGACCUUCGAAUUCAUCACCGUCCCAGAAAUCGAUGGUGGUGGCAGUGGAGGCGUGGAUUUGGGAAGAUUGGGGGAUGGAGAAACAUGUUUGGAAAGACUGGGGAGUUGAGAAACAGUAAUUUUUGGGAUCCAUUGAAGAACAAGAACACUAAUUGUAGAUUGUUGAACGUGAGAUUUUGG
rnacentral:lncRNA from 1 species